rnacentral:lncRNA from 1 species
CACUAUAAAUUUAAAUAUAAUAUUAAAUUUAAAUAUAAUAUUAAAUUUUAACCAUUAAAUCAGCAUUGUUUAUCAUUUACAUUCGUUAGAUUAUACUAUUCAACCAACCACCCACUCAACCCUAGGGGGCUCACAUCAUCUUAACCACAUAUUUUUUAAUCAAAAGGCUAAAAACAUACAAGUACCAAAGUCUUGAUUCUUUUAAAAGUAUAGUAGCUCAAUUCUAAUAUGUAUAUAAAAAUUUAAUAUUAUAUUUAAAUUUAUAUUUUCAAAUUUUAAAUUUAAUAUAAUAUAUUUUGAAAUAUUGAAAGAGAAAUAAUUAUUUCGGCUUCAGAUUUUCGGGUUCGGAUUCGGGUUUCGAAUUUUUGGUCGGUUUCAGAUUUGGAUAUGGAUUUUUAAAAUUCGUCGGAUUCGGGUUCGGAUUCGGAUUUCAGGUUUGGAGUCGAGUUUGGGUUCGUGAUUUUGAAAAUUUGCCCUGAAUCCGAUCCGUUGACAUCUCUAGACUCAAAUUGGAAUUACUAUUAUUAUUAUGAGUAAUGCUAGAGGUACAUCUCACCCAUCCAAUACCACCUUUGUGGUUUUGCAGUUUCUCACUUUAGUACCAUGUGGUUUAAAAUGUAUUACUUUCGUACCUUGUGAUUUUAUUUUUCUUUUUUUGUUAUUCUCUUUCACUAAAUUUUUUCGUUAAAUCGGUGACAAAGUUAAAACUAAAUAAUACUAACGUGAAUAUUCGAUAAAUUAUAAAUGGGGUAUCUGAAGUAUUUUAUAUAUGAUUUAACGAAAGGUUAACAAAUGGGCUGACGAAAAGAGAAAAAUGAAAUCAUAGAUACUAAAUUAAUAUAUUUUAAACCACAGAGUACUAAAGUGAAAGAGUACGAAACCACGGGGUGGUAUUUGAAGUUUACCCAUAAUAAUAUAAAAAUGCUAAUUGUACACUCCAAGUCUCCAAUCAGAAUCCACAAAUUACUCCUCACCCAUCUAACGGGUAAAAAUUAUUCACUAGUCACAUCUAGUGACCGGUGAAAAUACGCCAUCUAUUAGAUGGAUUGGAUGUAAGAUAUACAUCCCGAUCGAUUAGAGUGUAUGAGUAGUAUUGCAGUAGAAACUUCCUCAAUUAUAGGCCAUUUUGAAAUAGUCGCCUCAAUUUUUACUUUUUUGAUUGAAAUUAUCUCAAACUUUUGCUUGUUAAA